rnacentral:misc_RNA from 1 species
UUGAAUAAAUCUGAUGGGUUGUAGCUGGCUCUCUUGGGAGCAUGUGCACGCCUGUCGUCUUUAUUUCUCCACCUGUGCACUUCUUGUAGAUCUGGAUAAUUUCUCCGGGGUAACUCGGGUUGGCGAACUGCUGGUUUUGCAAUCAGCUGUUUGUAAAUUUCCAGAUCUAUGUUUUCAUAAACCCAUUGUAUAAUAAAGAAUGUGUUUUAGGCUUUAUGCCUAUAAAGUUAAUA